rnacentral:rRNA from 1 species
AGUGAACGCUGGCGGUAGGCCUAACACAUGCAAGUCGAACGGCAGCACAGUAAGAGCUUGCUCUUACGGGUGGCGAGUGGCGGACGGGUGAGGAAUACAUCGGAAUCUACUUUUUCGUGGGGGAUAACGUAGGGAAACUUACGCUAAUACCGCAUACGAUCUACGGGUGAAAGCAGGGGAUCUUCGGACCUUGCGCGAUUGAAUGAGCCGAUGUCGGAUUAGCUAGUUGGCGGGGUAAAGGCCCACCAAGGCGACGAUCCGUAGCUGGUCUGAGAGGAUGAUCAGCCACACUGGAACUGAGACACGGUCCAGACUCCUACGGGAGGCAGCAGUGGGGAAUAUUGGACAAUGGGCGCAAGCCUGAUCCAGCCAUACCGCGUGGGUGAAGAAGGCCUUCGGGUUGUAAAGCCCUUUUGUCGGGAAAGAAAAGCAGCAGGUUAAUACCCCGCUGUUCUGACGGUACCCAAAGAAUAAGCACCGGCUAACUUCGUG